CGGAAUUGCAUUUGAAACUGGCAGACUAGAGUACUGUAGAGGGGGGUAGAAUUUCAGGUGUAGCGGUGAAAUGCGUAGAGAUCUGAAGGAAUACCGGUGGCGAAGGCGGCCCCCUGGACAGAUACUGACACUCAGAUGCGAAAGCGUGGGGAGCAAACAGGAUUAGAUACCCUGGUAGUCCACGCCGUAAACGAUGUCUACUUGGAGGUUGUGGCCUUGAGCCGUGGCUUUCGGAGCUAACGCGUUAAGUAGACCGCCUGGGGAGUACGGUCGCAAGAUUAAAACUCAAAUGAAUUGACGGGGGCCCGCACAAGCGGUGGAGCAUGUGGUUUAAUUCGAUGCAACGCGAAGAACCUUACCUACUCUUGACAUCCAGAGAACUUUCCAGAGAUGGAUUGGUGCCUUCGGGAACUCUGAGACAGGUGCUGCAUGGCUGUCGUCAGCUCGUGUUGUGAAAUGUUGGGUUAAGUCCCGCAACGAGCGCAACCCUUAUCCUUGUUUGCCAGCGAGUAAUGUCGGGAACUCCAGGGAGACUGCCGGUGAUAAACCGGAGGAAGGUGGGGACGACGUCAAGUCAUCAUGGCCCUUACGAGUAGGGCUACACACGUGCUACAAUGGCGCAUACAGAGGGCAGCCAACUUGCGAAAGUGAGCGAAUCCCAAAAAGUGCGUCGUAGUCCGGAUUGGAGUCUGCAACUCGACUCCAUGAAGUCGGAAUCGCUAGUAAUCGUGGAUCAGAAUGCCACGGUGAAUACGUUCCCGGGCCUUGUACACACCGCCCGUCACACCAUGGGAGUGGGCUGCAAAAGAAGUAGGUAGUUUAACCUUCGGGGGGACGCUUACCACUUUGUGGUUCAUGACUGGGGUGAAGUCGUAACAAGGUAGCGCUAGGGGAACCUGGCGCUGGAUCACCUCCUUAAACGAUGAU
rnacentral:rRNA from 1 species